rnacentral:rRNA from 1 species
GAUGAACGCUGGCGGCAUGCCUAACACAUGCAAGUCGAUCGGUAAGGCUCUUCGGAGUACACGAGAGGCGGACGGCUGAGUAACGCGUAGGAACACACCCUGCAGUGAGGGAUAAGACACCGAAAGGUGUUCUAAUACCGCAUACGGUCUUCGGAUUAAAGCAUUUAUGCGCUGAAGGAGUGGCCUGCGUCAUAUUAGAUAGUUGGUGAGGUAAUGGCUCACCAAGUCGAUGAUGUGUAGCUGGUCUGAGAGGAUGAUCAGCCAGACUGGAACUGAGACACGGUCCAGACUCCUACGGGAGGCAGCAGUGAGGAAUAUUUCACAAUGAGCGAAAGCUUGAUGGAGCAAUGCCGCGUGCAGGAUGAAGGCCCUCGGGUUGUAAACUGCUUUUAUAAGAGAAGAUUAUGACGGUAACUGAUGAAUAAGAGACGGCUAACUACGUG